rnacentral:rRNA from 1 species
GACGAACGCUGGCGGCGUGCUUAACACAUGCAAGUCGAACGGAAAGGCCCUGCUUUUGUGGGGUGCUCGAGUGGCGAACGGGUGAGUAACACGUGAGUAACCUGCCCUUGACUUUGGGAUAACUUCAGGAAACUGGGGCUAAUACCGGAUAGGAGCUCCUGCUGCAUGGUGGGGGUUGGAAAGUUUCGGCGGUUGGGGAUGGACUCGCGGCUUAUCAGCUUGUUGGUGGGGUAGUGGCUUACCAAGGCUUUGACGGGUAGCCGGCCUGAGAGGGUGACCGGCCACAUUGGGACUGGGAUACGGCCCAGACUCCUACGGGAGGCAGCAGUGGGGAAUAUUGCACAAUGGGCGGAAGCCUGAUGCAGCAACGCCGCGUGCGGGAUGACGGCCUUCGGGUUGUAAACCGCUUUCGCCUGUGCCGAAGCGUGAGUGACGGUAAUGGGUAAAGAAGCACCGGCUAACUACGUG